rnacentral:snRNA from 1 species
GGAUUCUUGUAAAGAGAAGCAGGGCCUUUCUCAAGACCCACAGUCAGAAUUUUUGGGUACCCUUGCAGAAGUAAGGGUU